GCGGGCGUGGCUCAGUGGUAGAGUGCCUGCUUAGCACGCAUGAGGUCCUGGGUUCCAUCCCCAGUGCCUCCA
rfam:Camelus ferus unplaced genomic scaffold scaffold2112, whole genome shotgun sequence.